UCUGGCUUAAUAUAAAAAAUAUAAUGGAUUGUAAAUCCAUACAUAGCGUAGCUAGUCAGGA
rnacentral:tRNA from 1 species